CGGGGCCCGGAGGUCUGGCCCGGGUAGGGAGCGCGGCGCGGCUGGGGUCGCGAGGCGCGGCGUGGAACCCGGUGGAGUGUGGCGUAGCUGUGGCGGAGCUUCCCGCUCGCCACACGCCGGGCGUGGGUCCCCGAAGGGAAGGCCUGAGGCGUGAUGUUCUCCUUUAGUUCUGCUCCUCCGGACCACGCACGGUUGCAUGAUGGAAUUUGAACAUUACCUCAAGAGGUUUUAUGUUUUGGAUUAGCUAAUUGUGUUUGUCCUCUGCUGACUAUUUCUUCGGACUCACUUUUUGGUGUCCUUUUGAGGCAGUAAACUCAAAGGGAUUAUACCAUGGACUACAAGGAAAGCUGUCCAAGUGUAAGCAUUCCCAGCUCUGAUGAACACAGAGAGAAAAAGAAGAGGUUUACUGUUUAUAAAGUUCUGGUUUCAGUGGGCAGGAGUGAGUGGUUUGUCUUCAGAAGAUAUGCGGAGUUCGAUAAGCUUUACAACACUUUAAGGAAACAAUUUCCUGCUAUGGCCCUGAAGAUUCCUGCCAAGAGAAUAUUUGGUGAUAAUUUUGAUCCAGAUUUUAUUAAACAGAGAAGAGCGGGACUGAAUGAAUUCAUUCAGAACUUAGUUAGGCAUCCAGAACUUUACAACCAUCCAGAUGUCAGAGCAUUCCUUCAAAUGGACAGUCCAAAACAUCAGUCAGAUCCAUCUGAAGAUGAGGAUGAAAGAAGUACUCAGAAGCUACACUCUACCUCACAGAACAUUAACCUGGGACCAUCUGGAAAUCCUCAUGCUAAACCAACAGACUUUGAUUUCUUAAAAGUUAUUGGAAAAGGCAGCUUUGGCAAGGUUCUUCUUGCAAAACGGAAACUGGAUGGAAAAUUUUAUGCUGUCAAAGUGUUACAGAAAAAGAUAGUUCUCAACAGAAAAGAGCAAAAACACAUUAUGGCUGAACGUAAUGUGCUCUUGAAAAAUGUGAAACAUCCAUUUUUGGUUGGAUUACAUUAUUCUUUCCAAACAACUGAAAAGCUUUAUUUUGUUCUGGAUUUUAUUAAUGGAGGGGAGCUGUUUUUUCACUUGCAAAGAGAACGGUCCUUUCCUGAACACAGAGCUAGGUUUUAUGCUGCUGAAAUUGCCAGUGCAUUGGGUUAUUUGCACUCCAUCAAAAUAGUGUACAGAGACUUGAAACCAGAAAAUAUUCUUUUGGAUUCAGUAGGACAUGUUGUCUUAACAGAUUUUGGGCUUUGUAAAGAAGGAAUUGCUAUUUCUGACACCACAACAACAUUUUGUGGGACACCAGAGUACCUAGCACCUGAAGUAAUCAGAAAACAGCCCUAUGACAAUACUGUAGAUUGGUGGUGCCUUGGUGCUGUUCUGUAUGAAAUGCUGUAUGGAUUGCCUCCGUUUUAUUGCCGAGAUGUUGCUGAAAUGUAUGACAAUAUUCUUCACAAGCCCCUAAGUUUGAGGCCAGGAGUGAGCCUUACAGCCUGGUCAAUUCUGGAAGAACUCCUAGAAAAAGACAGGCAAAACCGACUCGGUGCCAAAGAAGACUUCCUUGAAAUUCAGAAUCAUCCUUUUUUUGAAUCACUCAGCUGGACUGAUCUUGUACAAAAGAAGAUUCCACCACCGUUUAAUCCUAAUGUGGCAGGACCAGAUGAUAUCAGGAACUUUGAUGCAGCGUUUACAGAAGAAACAGUUCCAUAUUCCGUGUGUGUGUCUUCUGACUAUUCCAUAGUGAACGCCAGCGUACUGGAGGCCGACGACGCCUUUGUUGGUUUCUCUUAUGCACCUCCUUCAGAAGACUUAUUUUUGUGAGCAGUCUGCCAUCAAGAACCCAUUGAGCAAAUAUAAACCUACAGAUGACAUGGAAACUCCUGUUUGUGUUUAUGCUAACAUCUACCCAAGAUAGACUGUUUUUUAACAGUCUGUUUCAGUUCAGUUAACAUACAUUAAUGCCUUCGUAGCUCUCUACUUUGAGUUCUCAGAUCACAACUAUGCAAUUGGUACAUGGUUGUUUAAGAAGAAACCAUAUCUUUCCAUAAUGAAUCACUGUUUGACAUUAUCAUUUCUUGGUAGGAUUAAAAUAUAAAAGCAUAGUUAACUCAUUGGCUGCUAGCUAACACUUUGAGUAACUGUCCAUUCUGCAGAUCAAAUUGAGAAGUAACAAAAGGAAAUCCUAUGCUUCUGAAAUACCAGUUCAAAUUUAUGAAUCAUUUUUCCUCUGGAGGAAAAGUAAAAGUUUAAUAGAAAUUUAGAAAUUUUAAAUAUUCCCAAAGCUCUGAAGGGAAAUAAAGUACUGCUGGAUUUUGUUUUUUAAGGCGGUGCCAAAAGCGAAUAUCUCUGUGUCAUGUAUUUAUAUUACCAAUACAUUUUAUUUAUGUUCUUUUUGGUCUUUUGAAUAUUUAAUAUAUUGUUAAGUAGGUCGAAAUCUUGAUAUUUGUUUUUGCAAAUAGCUAUUCAAAACUGUCUUCCUAAUUGGUUGAUAAGUAAAAAAUAUUGCACUGUCUAGAGUAUUUACCUAAUUGGGAACUAAAAAGUAGAAUAGCAAAUUAUGGGUCAGUAUAAAUGUAUACAGUUUUACUACAGUGUAACAAAAGUUAAAAAUAAUUUAGGCAGAUGCAUAGUCAGUAUCUUAUGUAUCUUAGAAAAAGUACAGGAAGCUGACCUUAAAAUCAUACUAAAAACCAACUAACUUGUAUACUUGUAAUUGUAAAAAAGAAUAUCUACAGAAAAACUAAAACUCAUGCUUACCUUGGGAUUCUGAUUCUUAGUUUAGAGAUUUUUCAGGUCUUGUAGGAAACUGUGAAAGAGUUUAGUGACGCAGUUUUGAUGCUUCAGGAACAAGCAUACUUUCCAUGUAUUUUCUCUUGAGAAAGAAAUUACAAAAACUUUUCACACGAAUACCCUUUAGCGUAAAAUUGUUCAGCAGAAGGCAGGGAGGCAGAGUGUACUUUUGUUAGAUUAGUAAUGUUUGCAUCCAAUACACUGAAUCUUCCUUUAGAGGUAAGACUUUAAUAGCGACACUGUAAAUAUUUGGUUUAUUUGGCACUACUGUAAGUUCUGCUUUUAUACAAAGCUCUUUGCUUAUUAUAAAACAAAAACUGUAGUUUCUUGUAUGAUUUUUUUUUACUCAGCUGUUCCUUAAUUAAACUGCCAAAAAUUAAAGUGCAAUAUUGUAUAUUUUUAAGAACAAAUUUUAAAUAGAAUAUUGAUGUUUCUCAGAUCACAGGAAAUACAAAUCUUAU